UACGGAGGGUGCAAGCGUUGUCCGGAAUCACUGGGCGUAAAGGGCGCGUAGGCGGCUCGGUAAGUAGGGGGUGAAAUCCUGCGGCUUAACCGCAGGGCUGCCUUCUAAACUGUCGAGCUCGAGCACGGUAGAGGCAGAUGGAAUUCCCGGUGUAGCGGUGGAAUGCGUAGAGAUCGGGAAGAACACCCGUGGCGAAGGCGGCCGACUGGGCCGGAUCCGACGCUCAAGCGCGAAAGCGUGGGGAGCAAACAGG
rnacentral:rRNA from 1 species